rnacentral:rRNA from 1 species
UACGGAGGGGGCUAGCGUUGUUCGGAAUUACUGGGCGUAAAGCGCACGUAGGCGGCUUUGUAAGUUAGAGGUGAAAGCCCGGGGCUCAACUCCGGAAUUGCCUUUAAGACUGCAUCGCUUGAAUCCGGGAGAGGUGAGUGGAAUUCCGAGUGUAGAGGUGAAAUUCGUAGAUAUUCGGAAGAACACCAGUGGCGAAGGCGGCUCACUGGACCGGCAUUGACGCUGAGGUGCGAAAGCGUGGGGG